GAUGAACGCUGGCGGCGUGCCUAAUACAUGCAAGUCGAGCGAACGGACGAGAAGCUUGCUUCUCUGAUGUUAGCGGCGGACGGGUGAGUAACACGUGGAUAACCUACCUAUAAGACUGGGAUAACUUCGGGAAACCGGAGCUAAUACCGGAUAAUAUUUUGAACCGCAUGGUUCAAAAGUGAAAGACGGUCUUGCUGUCACUUAUAGAUGGAUCCGCGCUGCAUUAGCUAGUUGGUAAGGUAACGGCUUACCAAGGCAACGAUGCAUAGCCGACCUGAGAGGGUGAUCGGCCACACUGGAACUGAGACACGGUCCAGACGCCUACGGGAGGCAGCAGUAGGGAAUCUGCCGCAAUGGGCGAAAGCCUGACGGAGCAACGCCGCGUGAGUGAUGAAGGUCUUCGGAUCGUAAAACUCUGUUAUUAGGGAAGAACAUAUGUGUAAGUAACUGUGCACAUCUUGACGGUACCUAAUCAGAAAGCCACGGCUAACUACGU
rnacentral:rRNA from 1 species